rnacentral:lncRNA from 1 species
CUAGAGAUUUGAAGUACGCGACAAAUUUGAUUCAUCAAAUUGCUUUGGGCCGCAAUCUAAGACUGUUGGGCAGCAAUCCAAUCCUCAGGUCCACCACUUCAGAUGUUAGUGUUUUGACCUCUUCUGUUCUCUGCCUGGAGGAUAAGGUAGACGGGUCCCAAAGGCAGACUUUCCAAAACUCCCAAUGAACAUUCCCAUGCCUACGACUGAGGGUCUGAUCGAGUGUGUCUGUCAUGAUAUGAAAACUAGCAUCCUUAGGGGAAACACCUCCUUGAUUGGGGUCUAUAAGGGAAGCUGGGAAGCCACCUCCUUCAGAACGGUUUGGCCCUUCUCCACCAUGGUGGACUAGAAAAAUGAAAUAAACAAAUUAAUUUGAAUAUACAUGUAAUUAAUAUUAAUACUAAUUGAAUAUUAAAAAAAUUGAAAUAGGAAAAUUUAAAAAUUGUUAGCAUAGAUUACUAAUUGUGUAAUAGAGAGUAAAAAGAAUGAAAACUUUAAAUAAACAUAUGGUUACCUUACGUCGCUCCACCAACUCUAUAAGGCACCCAAUUGCUAGAGUGACCUCCGGACCCUCAUAUAGCUCAUAAUGCUUGUGGAGGUUGUUCUUCCAUUAGGUGAACCUACCGGCACAAAGGUCGUUGAUGUACUGGGUUUGAUUGGCAUUGAGGUUCGUGAGGUCAUAGUAAUGUUGCAAAACUCAACAAAUAAAAGUAGUUAAAAUUUAUAAUAUUUGUAUAUUUUAAUAAAUUUAGUAUUUGAGGUUGAAAAUACUUACUGGUAAUUCAUGAAGAACUACUUUUGACUUCAUGUGGGACAACUUCCCAUGACUCCCAUAGAGGGGGUAAUGAUUCCUGACCACUAACCCAAUGUCGCUGGCCAACGCACUGUGUUGCUCCUUUGUUGUAGCAGCAUGAUGUCGAGGAUCCCGCUUAAUGGUGAUCUUCUCGGUUGUGGUGCGAGUGGUCUUUUGCAGUCUGCAAGGGCCCCUGUUUUUUUUUUAACUACCAAAUAAACAAAGUAAACAUUAGACGAAUUCUAUUUUUCACUGAAAAUUCGAUAGAACCUCCCUUAAAACUAUAACUGUGGAGCCAAUAAUAAUAAAAAAGAUUAUGGAGAUGACACGUGGAUUUUUGGGUAAAAAAGAGAAAAUUACCGGAACUCCCACAUGUUAGCAGCGGACAAUCACGACUCAAUCAAGGUCAAAAGUGAUGAAAAUAGGUAUUUAUUCAAUACCUAUUUCAUCCAUCCUCAUCAAAUCCUCCCUACAAGUAACACUCAAUUAUUCAUUCAAAUUAGGAUUAAUUACCUAAAUUAAUUGAUUAAUUUCCUAAUUAAUUAAAUAAUUUACUAAUUAAUUUCCUAAUUGAUUACAAGAUAUUAUUUUGACAAAAUAUCUAACAAUUACACCCAAAAACCACCAUAAGUGGCUGGACCCUUUUUCUACAAAUAGGAGCAGGCCACACCCCUAUAAAUAGCCUUCAUUUGUCCCAAAAACCUAAUUCCAACUGUCUUGCAAAAUUCUCCAAAUUUCUCUAAAAACUUUUCCCUCAAAUUCUAACUUUGGCAUUGGAGGUUCUUAGGCCAAAACCCUCCCCAUUCAUCGUGGGUGCAUGAGGCUCUUGGCGUUGACCUAAGGUGUUAAUUAUGUUGCAGGUGUAAUUUUGUCCUCGAAGAAGUAGGCAGAAAUUUGCAUCCACAAAUUGGUGCUUUCAUUGAGACUCUUGAUUCACAAGGUUGAAGAAAACUCUCGCAUUCAAGGUUUCUAAUUUUUUGUUAAUUUGUAGAUUUUUCGUACAUUCUCAUUCUUAGAAUUUUGUAUACAAAAAUUCUUUGAAUAAACGUAAAAGAAAAGUACAAUGACAAGAAAUUCGAAAACCACGACGAACGAAACUUCCUACGUUCAAGGAUUUGGACCACGAUGAUCCGUAAGGCUCAACGCGACGAUGAGUGGAGCGGCACCGCCCAUGGUGAGCAGGCCACCUCGCAGCAGUAGGCAACCCACAUUUAAGCCUACGGUACUAUAAUGGAAGCUAGAAGCAUAAGAAGCUGCAGCACUUGGAGCAGCUCAGUACGCUCUAAGGUCGAGUCUAGGACCAGCGAAUCCAACCCGUACCACUCCAAACAACACGGGCUUAAGCCCAAUGCGAGCCGGCCUGAGCUACGACCCGGCGGAAGGCCAAUGUGCACCCAAGCUAAGCCCAAUACUCGUACCCACGUGUGCCGUAUAUGGACUAACCCACUCCCGUGGCUUCCUAAGUAGCCCAAACUAGUCCAAGACCGGUUCAACUGUCCUGGCUUCAGAUUUAUGGGCCGAUGAUUGAACCAGGGGAAUUUUCACCCUGUUUCUUCACAGAUUUGGCAUUUCCUAACUCAAAUCUCGCGGUUGGAGUCUAUUACACUUCUGUUACUCAAGAAGACUCAUUUUGUCCAAAGCUUUUCAAACCCGAAUGGAGACAACACUUGUCUCGACAAGUCAUGGAGUUGACAAGCGCCCUCGCACAUCAAACGACCUUAGUGAACUAACUCUUACAACGUGCCUUUGAUGAGGUGUCUCGAAGUAGGACAAGGAUAGAUGAAGAACAUCUCUAGCAGCAUCCCGGUAAGCAGCUACUCGACCAGCCGUGAACUAAGACGUAUACUCUCAUCGUAGCACCCGGAGGAGCAUGCACUCUCGGUUAGGCCCACAAAUAAGCAUACACUCACGGUUGGGUUCA